GUGUAUUGGUAUUUUAGAUGGGGGACGGGUCAUCAAAGAUAAAUUGGUAACACCUUUUCUUUUGACUCGUUCUUUUCAUCGGAGACGCUGUCCGUGAAGGUUUGGUGCAGUCCUACAGGAAACUCUCUCACCUGACAUUUUUCGGCUCAUCAAUGGUUUUCAUGGACGGUUUGAUGAUUGAGCUAUUUUGCUGUGGCUGUUUGGGGUGCAGUGGUUCUCCAGUAGAGAUGCGUUGGAAUGGAGCUUGUGCAGACUUGUUGUUUAAUGUAAUCGUAUUGGCUUCAGAGUGUGUCCACCAGGGGGCAAGUUCCUGGUUUUAGCUAAUUGGCAACAUGGCAAGCUUAUGCCGCUGACGUCAUUUCUAUUACGGAUGCUAUGAUGUCAGUUACUGUGUUCGUGGUCAGUCAACUUUAACAUUGUUCUUCACAAAUAUUCUCUUGGAUUAAAGGAUUGGUGAAGUUGAGCUUUUUCAAGGCAGUCCACUUCGUUUGAUUUGUUGCGGCCAGCUGGUUAACGGUGUGGUGAGCUGUUGUAUUAAGACCGUGUGCUGUUGUGAAGAGCUUCUGCAUGCAGUCUGUGGUGCUGCUGGGGGAAGUGUUGCAUGCUGUCAAUGGAGUGUAGUGCCAGCUUUAAAUUUAAUGAACUCACUGCUGUAACAAUUGAGUGUUUCUGAAGUCAGUUUGAGUUUAUUUUGGUGGCUUUAUUUGGUCUGCAGUUCAUGUUCGCGUGGUUUUGUUGCAGCCGGUUGUUGAAAUGGAGUUCCAUGUCAAAUUGAGCUGCAGGUUUUGGAAGCUAUCUACCUUGCUGGUGUCAUCCUGAAGUGGAACAGAAAUGCAGUCGUCUUGGCAUCUUGCAAUGGACUCAUGACGAUCUGAUGUAACUGCCUUGGUGAUAAUGAUGAUCAACCUGCUGUAUGUAAUCCAUGCUGCUGGUGUUCUCCAGAAAUAUUGAAGCAAGACUUGAAACAAAACUGCAGGAAUAUUUGUAGGAAUGGAUUUUGAAAAUGUUCAGCGGUUUCGUACGCCAUCUGUUCAAGAUUUUAUCCUGAAUUGCGCUGAAGUCCUUGCAGUAACGGAUUCCGGUACCAUCCUGAUGUUGCAGUGCCGAUGAAAUAUGAGUUGAUAAAAUUUAUCUGUAUUUGUGUUACAUCAUCUUUAUGUGGUAGAAGAUAUUGAUGAUUUUUACUUUUCAGAAUGAUGUGUUGCAACAAAAGUUAUAACUGUGGUAAUCCUAGAUGAUGUAACCACCUCAACCCUGAUUAGGUCGUAACUUAUUGUUUGUGUAUCAAAAUCAAACCUGCUAUUUUUGUUUUACUUGUAAACUUAAUA
rnacentral:lncRNA from 1 species